rnacentral:tRNA from 1 species
GCGGUCGUGGCGGAACGGUAGACGCGCUAGCUUGAGGUGCUAGUGGGCGAAAGCCUGUGGAAGUUCGAGUCUUCUCGACCGCACCA